ACCCGCUGAACUUAAGCAUAUCAAUAAGCGGAGGAAAAGAAACCAACAGGGAUUGCCCUAGUAACGGCGAGUGAAGCGGCAACAGCUCAAAUUUGAAAUCUGGCGUCUUUGGCGUCCGAGUUGUAAUUUGCAGAGGGCGCUUUGGCAUUGGCAGCGGUCCAAGUUCCUUGGAACAGGACGUCACAGAGGGUGGGAAUCCCGUACGUGGUCGCUAGCCUUUACCGUGUAAAGCCCCUUCGACGAGUCGAGUUGUUUGGGAAUGCAGCUCUAAAUGGGAGGUAAAUUUCUUCUAAAGCUAAAUACUGGCCAGAGACCGAUAGCGCACAAGUAGAGUGAUCGAAAGAUGAAAAGCACUUUGGAAAGAGAGUUAAAAAGCACGUGAAAUUGUUGAAAGGGAAGCGCUUGCAGCCAGACUUGCCUGUAGUUGCUCAUCCGGGUUUUUACCCGGUGCACUCUUCUAUAGGCAGGCCAGCAUCAGUUUGGGCGGUUGGAUAAAGGUCUCUGUCAUGUACCUCUCUUCGGGGAGAACUUAUAGGGGAGACGACAUGCAACCAGCCCGGACUGAGGUCCGCGCAUCUGCUAGGAUGCUGGCGUAAUGGCUGU
rnacentral:rRNA from 1 species